GACGAACGCUGGCGGCGUGCCUAAUACAUGCAAGUAGAACGCUGAAGGAGGAGCUUGCUUCUCUGGAUGAGUUGCGAACGGGUGAGUAACGCGUAGGUAACCUGCCUGGUAGUGGGGGAUAACUAUUGGAAACGAUAGCUAAUACCGCAUAAUAGCAGUUGUUGCAUGAUAACUGUUUGAAAGGUGCAAUUGCACCGCUACCAGAUGGACCUGCGUUGUAUUAGCUAGUUGGUGGGGUAACGGCUCACCAAGGCGACGAUACAUAGCCGACCUGAGAGGGUGAGCGGCCACACUGGGACGGAGACACGGCCCAGACUCCUACGAGAGGCAGCAGUAGGGAAUCUUCGGCAAUGGACGGAAGGCUGACCGAGCAACGCUGCGUGAGUGAAGAAGGUUGUCGGAUCGUAAAGCUCUGUUGUAAGAGAAGAACGAGUGUGAGAGUGGAAAGUUCACACUGUGACGGUAUCUUACCAGAAAGGGACGGCUAACUACGUG
rnacentral:rRNA from 1 species